GUACGGGAGGCAGCAGUGGGGAAUAUUGGACAAUGGGCGAAAGCCUGAUCCAGCAAUGCCGCGUGUGUGAAGAAGGCCUGAGGGUUGUAAAGCACUUUCAAUGGGAAGGAAAAAAGUUGGGCUAAUACCCCGAUUCUUGACAUUACCUAUAGAAGAAGCACCGGCUAACUCCGUGCCAGCAGCCGCGGUAAUACGGAGGGUGCAAGCGUUAAUCGGAAUUACUGGGCGUAAAGCGUGCGUAGGCGGUUAUUUAAGUCAGAUGUGAAAGCCCCGGGCUUAACCUGGGAACUGCAUUUGAUACUGGGUGACUAGAGUUUGGUAGAGGGGAGUGGAAUUUCCGGUGUAGCGGUGAAAUGCGUAGAUAUCGGAAGGAACACCAGUGGCGAAGGCGGCUCUCUGGACCAAAACUGACGCUGAGGUACGAAAGCGUGGGUAGCAAACAGGAUUAGAUACCCCGGU
rnacentral:rRNA from 1 species